GCCCCAGCUAGGCCCGCCUCGAAACCGGGCCGAAAAGCCAGUUCCCCCGCUGGCCUGCUGGGGCUCCUGAUACCGGGG
rnacentral:sRNA from 17 species